ACCUGGGUGGCUCAGUCGGUUGAGCGUCCGACUUCGGCUCAGGUCAUGAUCUCGCGGUUCGUGGGUUCGAACCCCGCAUCGGGCU
rnacentral:tRNA from 1 species